rnacentral:rRNA from 1 species
AUGAACGCUGGCGGCGUGCCUAAUACAUGCAAGUCGAGCGAACGGACGAGAAGCUUGCUUCUCUGAUGUUAGCGGCGGACGGGUGAGUAACACGUGGAUAACCUACCUAUAAGACUGGGAUAACUUCGGGAAACCGGAGCUAAUACCGGAUAAUAUUUUGAACCGCAUGGUUCAAAAGUGAAAGACGGUCUUGCUGUCACUUAUAGAUGGAUCCGCGCUGCAUUAGCUAGUUGGUAAGGUAACGGCUUACCAAGGCAACGAUGCAUAGCCGACCUGAGAGGGUGAUCGGCCACACUGGAACUGAGACACGGUCCAGACUCCUACGGGAGGCAGCAGUAGGGAAUCUUCCGCAAUGGGCGAAAGCCUGACGGAGCAACGCCGCGUGAGUGAUGAAGGUCUUCGGAUCGUAAAACUCUGUUAUUAGGGAAGAACAUAUGCGUAAGUAACUGUGCACAUCUUGACGGUACCUAAUCAGAAAGCCACGGCUAACUACGUG